GUCAGGAUAGCUUAGUUGGUAGAGCAGAGGACUGAAACUCCUCGUGUCACUGGUUCAAAUCUGGUUCCUGGCA
rnacentral:tRNA from 1 species